AACGCGAAGAACCUUACCUAGACUUGACAUCUUCUGCAUUACCCUUAAUCGGGGAAGUUCCUUCGGGAACAGAAUGACAGGUGGUGCAUGGUUGUCGUCAGCUCGUGUCGUGAGAUGUUGGGUUAAGUCCCGCAACGAGCGCAACCCCUAUUGUUAGUUGCUACCAUUAAGUUGAGCACUCUAGCGAGACUGCCCGGGUUAACCGGGAGGAAGGUGGGGAUGACGUCAAAUCAUCAUGCCCCUUAUGUCUAGGGCUACACACGUGCUACAAUGGCAAGUACAGAGAGAUGCAAUACCGUGAGGUGGAGCUAAACUUUAAAACUUGUCUCAGUUCGGAUUGUAGGCUGAAACUCGCCUACAUGAAGCUGGAGUUACUAGUAAUCGCGAAUCAGCAUGUCGCGGUGAAUACGUUCCCGGGCCUUGUACACACCG
rnacentral:rRNA from 1 species